GUGCGUACAAGAGAAGCCAGGAGCAAGCUCCCAUGGAGCUUCACCCUAAAAUUCAACAAAACCCUCAAAUUGGAGGAUCAAACAAUGGCCAAACUCGGAUCUGAACACAUAGAAACGGUCACCAAGUCAGGGGGAUCGUAAGUAUGACUCUUGACAAGCUAGAAGGAGACUUGGGCAAGGAACGGGUCAAACGGUUCGUGUAUGGGAAAAAGAGCAUAAUCGGAUGCAAGGUACUUUUGGAUGCCGGAAGACGAUCAAGCUCAGUGAAGAACCGAACAUGAUAAAGACACACGCUUC